rnacentral:rRNA from 1 species
UACGUAGGGUCCGAGCGUUGUCCGGAAUUAUUGGGCGUAAAGGGCUCGUAGGCGGUUUGUCGCGUCGGGAGUGAAAACCGGGUGCUUAACACCUGGCUUGCUUUCGAUACGGGCAGACUAGAGGUAUGCAGGGGAGAACGGAAUUCCUGGUGUAGCGGUGAAAUGCGCAGAUAUCAGGAGGAACACCGGUGGCGAAGGCGGGUCUCUGGGCCGAUACUGACGCUGAGGAGCGAAAGCGUGGGGAGCGAACAGG